rnacentral:rRNA from 1 species
GAUGAACGCUGGCGGCGUGCCUAAUACAUGCAAGUCGAGCGAACAGACAAGGAGCUUGCUCCUUUGACGUUAGCGGCGGACGGGUGAGUAACACGUGGGUAACCUACCUAUAAGACUGGGAUAACUUCGGGAAACCGGAGCUAAUACCGGAUAAUAUUUCGAACCGCAUGGUUCGAUAGUGAAAGAUGGUUUUGCUAUCACUUAUAGAUGGACCCGCGCCGUAUUAGCUAGUUGGUAAGGUAACGGCUUACCAAGGCGACGAUACGUAGCCGACCUGAGAGGGUGAUCGGCCACACUGGAACUGAGACACGGUCCAGACUCCUACGGGAGGCAGCAGUAGGGAAUCUUCCGCAAUGGGCGAAAGCCUGACGGAGCAACGCCGCGUGAGUGAUGAAGGUCUUCGGAUUGUAAAACUCUGUUAUUAGGGAAGAACAUACGUGUAAGUAACUAUGCACGUCUUGACGGUACCUAAUCAGAAAGCCACGGCUAACUACGUGCCAGUAGCCGCGGUAAUACGUAGGUGGCAAGCGUUAUCCGGAAUUAUUGGGCGUAAAGCGCGCGUAGGCGGUUUUUUAAGUCUGAUGUGAAAGCCUACGGCUCAACCGUGGAGGGUCAUUGGAAACUGGAAAACUUGAGUGCAGAAGAGGAAAGUGGAAUUCCAUGUGUAGCGGUGAAAUGCGCAGAGAUAUGGAGGAACACCAGUGGCGAAGGCGACUUUCUGGUCUGUAACUGACGCUGAUGUGCGAAAGCGUGGGGAUCAAACAGGAUUAGAUACCCUGGUAGUCCACGCCGUAAACGAUGAGUGCUAAGUGUUAGGGGGUUUCCGCCCCUUAGUGCUGCAGCUAACGCAUUAAGCACUCCGCCUGGGGAGUACGACCGCAAGGUUGAAACUCAAAGGAAUUGACGGGGACCCGCACAAGCGGUGGAGCAUGUGGUUUAAUUCGAAGCAACGCGAAGAACCUUACCAAAUCUUGACAUCCUUUGACAACUCUAGAGAUAGAGCCUUCCCCUUCGGGGGACAAAGUGACAGGUGGUGCAUGGUUGUCGUCAGCUCGUGUCGUGAGAUGUUGGGUUAAGUCCCGCAACGAGCGCAACCCUUAAGCUUAGUUGCCAUCAUUAAGUUGGGCACUCUAAGUUGACUGCCGGUGACAAACCGGAGGAAGGUGGGGAUGACGUCAAAUCAUCAUGCCCCUUAUGAUUUGGGCUACACACGUGCUACAAUGGACAAUACAAAGGGCAGCGAAACCGCGAGGUCAAGCAAAUCCCAUAAAGUUGUUCUCAGUUCGGAUUGUAGUCUGCAACUCGACUACAUGAAGCUGGAAUCGCUAGUAAUCGUAGAUCAGCAUGCUACGGUGAAUACCUUCCCGGGUCU